rnacentral:rRNA from 1 species
GACGAACGCUGGCGGCGUGCCUAACACAUGCAAGUCGAACGGAAAGGCCCUGCUUUUGUGGGGUGCUCGAGUGGCGAACGGGUGAGUAACACGUGAGUAACCUGCCCUUGACUUUGGGAUAACUUCAGGAAACUGGGGCUAAUAUCGGAUAGGAGCUCCUGCUCCAUGGUGGGGGUUGGAAAGUUUCGGCGGUCGGGGAUGGACUCGCGGCUUACGAGCUUGUUGGUGGGGUAGUGGCUUACCAAGGCUUUGACGGGUAGCCGGCCUGGGAGGGUGACCGGCCACAUUGGGACUGAGGUACGGCGCAGACUCCUACGGGAGGCAGCAGUGGGGAGUAUUACACAGUGGGCGGAAGCCAGAUGCGGCGGCGCCGCGUGCGGGAUGACGGCCUUCGGGUUGAGAACCGCUUUCGCCUGUGACGAAGCGUGAGUGACGGUAAUGAGUAAAGAAGCACCGGCUAACUACGUG